rnacentral:lncRNA from 1 species
ACCCGGGAGGCAGAGCUUGCAGUGAGCCUAGAUCGUGCCACUGCACUCCAGCCUGGGCAACAGAGCAAGAUUCUGUCUCAAAAAAUAAAUAAAAUAAAUAAAUAAAUAAAUAAAUAAAUAAAAAGAAGAAAGCCCCUGAUGGCUCAGCCCUUGGUAAGAGUGUAUUCCUGCUAAAGAUGGAGGUUAAAUGCUUAGAAUUGCUGAACAGUUACCUCCUUUGCAACGGUUAUUAAGCAGAGUAGCUGAUUUUUAAUUAGAUUUAAAUGUGUGACUCACUAAUGGUUAAUGACAAACAAUUUAAUUAUCGGGCCUUUCAUUUUUUCUGGAAAGCCUCAGACUGCUCCUGGAAUCCUUAAUGUGGGCAUGUGAAGAAUAUGGGCAUUAAUGGGUCUCAGAAGUUUUUCUGUUUUAUCUUGUGGACAAAGGCACAAAUGGUUAACUCGAUUUUAUUGAAUGUCUCUUCAUAGUCAAGAUAAGGUUAAUGCCCCUGGGGGCUUGGAGAUCCACACCAGGACACAGCCCCAUUGGUUGGCUUCAUUGCCUGCUCUCUUACCCUCCUGGAUCCAGCUCCUGAAAGUGUUUUACUUUUUACCAGGAUGCUUCUAGAGGAUGUCAACUGAUUAGCCAAUCAAGUUGCAUAAUUGAUUUUGCCACAUGGAUGAAGACAACUUGAACAAGGGCAACAUGGACAGCAGAGAGGCACUAGAGCAUGAUAGUCUAAAGCAUGGAUUCCUGUGUCACCUAGUAUGAGUAGAUCCCCGAGGUCUAGCACAUACAGCUGUGAAAGCUUGGGCAAAUUGUCUUAGGACUUCAGUUUUCUCAUCUGCAAAAUGGGGACAAUAAGUGUAUAUAACUCAUAGGAUUGUAAUGGUUAUAGGCGACAACUGUGACAAUACCUAACAUUAAUUGAAUGCUUCUUUUUGUGCCAAUGAUGAGAAAGAUGGACGUGAUUAGCUUUGCCCCUGGCACAUAAGCAUUUUCAUUAGCUAUUCGUAUUAUUAUUUAAUACUACCUGUCAAACCCAUUUCGACAAACUUCAAGAGAUCAUCAACUUCUUUUGCCAUAUCAGAAUUCUGACCUACCGAAAAUCGCUCUUUAUAAGUGGGUCAGGGAUGGAGCUUGGAAAUCUUUUUUGUUAUGUACAAUUUCACCUAUAAUUUAUUUUCCAUUUUAAUCUAAUGCAUAAUUGAACACACUUUUAGAAUAUCACAUUAUAUAUUGCUUCUAUUACUCUCAGAAAUACUUUGUCUUUGUCAUAGGGUAUUACUAAAUCUAGCUGAAUUUCCAACUUCCCAAGAACCUGAUAAACAGGCUCAUUUUUCUUCACAGAUUAGUAAGGAGAAGGAAAUUAACUCUGAAUCCUGAUUCUUGUCUAUAGUUUAAGGGAAAAAAAUACAGUUAAAGUGACUUGAAAUCAUAGUCAUAAUCAAAAUGAUGGGGUUAUUCUGCAGCUGUCAGGGGUACCCAUGAGCUGCAAAGUAGCACCUGCAAUAACAGCCUUGAUUUUCUAAUCCAUUUCACAAUCCACUCUUGGCAUGAAGCACGUUCUACCUUUCGAACUGUCAGAUUCUUGGGCUGAGCAAAUUGGGUACAGCUUUUCGAUUACACAUUCAGUUCUUUCCCAGCUUUAAAACUGAUUUCACAUUACCAGUAUGAUUUAUCAAGGAGAGAGCCAUCUUAAGGCACAAGCCUAAGUUAUAGAGGUGGCCCUGGGGUGUAAGCAAAAGCACUGCAGAAUUUCAGAUAUAAUAAAACAGGGUGAGCCUGCUAUUACCUGUGUCCUAGAUACAAAAGAUACUCUUCUGAUAGCCUGGAACAGCUGGCACCAACACCUCACUUUAUUAGGGGGCUGCUGUUUCCAUAUUUCCAGGCCAGGAAGCCCUAUUUCUUAGUAGCUAGAAUUGUAUUCAUUAAAAAAAACAAACAAACCAGGUUUGUAUCACUCUUACCAAGCAAUCAAGCAUAGUCUGUUGAUUAGGGCCAGCCUGAAGCCAACUAGUCGGGUAAAGUUAGCUGUCUUCUUUCCAAUUAGUGCUUCUUGCCCCUCCUCCAUAGGCCUGCCCAAGGCAUCCAAUACCUAUGCUUCCCACUUCCUUCUAGCAAAACCAGCUCUCACACCCUUUAAUCAAGCCUCAGUACAGUUGACCCUUGAACAAUGCAGGAAUUAGAGGCUCUGACCUCGUGCACAGUAAAAAACCUGCAUAACUUUUGACUCCCCCAAAAUUAACUAAUAGCCUACUAUUGACCAGAAGCCUUACCCAAAACAUAAACCAAUAACAUAUGUGACUAACCAUAUUUUAUAUAGGUAUUAUACACUAUAUUCUUUUUUUGUGUGUGUGUGUGUUUUAUUUAUUAUUAUUAUACUUUAAGUUUUAGGGUACAUGUGCACAAUGUGCAGGUUAGUUACAUAUGUAUACAUGUGCCAUGCUGGUGCGCUGCACCCACUAACUUGACAUCAGUAUAUUCUAUGAUAAAGUAAACUAGAGAAAAGAAAAUGUUAUUAAGAAAAUCAUAAAGGGCCAGGUGUGGUGGCUCACGCCUGUAAUCCCAACACUUUGGAAGGCUGAGGCAGUGAAUUGCUUGAGCCCAGGAGUUUGAGACCAGCCUGGGCAACAUAGCAAAUACAAAAAAUAUGAAAAUUAGCUGGGCAUGGUGGCACAUGCCUGUAGUUACAGUUACUUGGGAGGCUGAGGUGGGAGGUUCACUUGGGAUGGGAGGUUGAGGCUGCAGUGAGCUAUGAUUGUGUCACUGAACUCCACCUUGGACAACAGAGUGAGACCCUGUCUCAAAAAUAAUCGUAAGGAAGAGAAAAUAUAUUUACCAUUCAUUAAAUGGAAGUGGACCAUCAUAAAGGUCUUCAUCCUCGCCAUCUUCACAUUGAGUAGGCUGAGGAGGAGGGAGAGGAUGGGUUGGUCUUGCUGUCUCAGGGGUGGCAGAGGCAGGAGAAAAUCCACAACCCACAUAUAAAUGGACCUGCACAGUACAAACCCAUGUUGUUCAAGGGUCACCUGUACUGUAAUGUGCUUGAUCUUCUUAAGGCUUUUACUUUUGCUCUCCCAACUCAUUACACUGUCAGAGGCCAAAUCCCUAACUGGGGGACAGUGUAAUGGAGGAACAAUUGAAUGAGAAGAUUGGACGUUCAAAGUCUGGGUUUUAGAUCUGCUAUCUAUCAGGCUUUUCACCCACCCAUUCACUCUGGGCCCUCAGUUUCUUUACCUGUCAAAUGGCUAGGUUGGAGAAUCUGGAUUUUUAUAACUCAUAGGCUCAUGGAUCAUUAGUGAUGCUCAUUCUGCAGAAGAGGAAAGCAAAAUACAGCAUUAUUUCUUUUCUCUGCUCUGAUGUUCUGCAAUUCUAAGAGUUGGAAUCUAAACUCAUGGGGAAACAUUUUGAGGAUGUUAACACAUUAUCCCUGAAUAUAUACCUCAUCAUGGGCACGGAGAUGGGGCAGGAACUGGUAUGAAUUCAGUGUCUUGUGAAGUGCAUGCUGUGGCCCAUAGGAUUCUCACUGCUGCUCUUUGAAGAAUAUAAUGUUAUUGUCAAAAUGGAGGUGAGGAUAUCGAGACUCAGGACUUACCCAAGGCUAUACCACUAGAAAGUGGCAAGGUCUAUCAAUUUUCCCAGUGUCUACCACAAGACUGGCCCCAUGCAUAAUAUCUGACUUGAAAGAUAAUUCUGGGAAAAUUCCUGUGAUCCCAGGUGGGAAGUCCCAGCUGCUCUGCUUGUUGGCCCAUCCCCAACAUUCUCGUGUUCAAAGAAUCUGGAUUUCUUUAGACUCAAGAGUCCAGCAUAAGAUGGGUAGUUGCACCUAAGACAGUGCCAACGAACACACUUUACCUGGGGCCAGCUUCAACCAUAGGUACUGGGUAGGUGACCAGCUAGUGUUGUUGGAAGAAGAUUGUAAGGUCUCCUGUUACAGCCCAUCUGUUCUGUUAGGGUGGUCAGCUUGUCUCAAUCUCCCUGGGAUGUUCUCAGUUUUUUUUUAAUUUUUUAAUUAUUAUACUUUACCUUCUAGGGUGCAUGUGCACAACGUGUGGUUUUGUUACAUAGGUAUACAUGUGCCAUGUUGGUUUGCUGCACCCAUUAACUCGUCAUUUACAUUAAGUAUUUCUCCUAAUGCUAUCCCUCCCCCAGCCACCCAUCCCAUGACAGGCCCUGGUGUGUGAUGUUCCCCGCCCUGUGUCCAAGUGUUCUUAUUGUUCAAUUCCCACCUAUGAGUGGGGAUGUUCUCAGUUUUAAAACUGAUACUCCCAGGUCUAGAGAACUCCCUCUGUCCCAAGAAAAUGGAAUGGUUUGUCAUCCUACAAUUUCCUGAGCUCUGAAUUUCUGUAAUUGGGAGAAUAUACCUUAUACUCUAUAUUCAAUACAAAUAAAACAAAUUUCUUCCUGUUGGCAUGUUACCUUAUCAAACUUGGAGGUUAUGUUUGAGAUGCAAAUAGAGACUUCUAUGGAGUAUGCAAAGUUUAUUUUGGGGCAGGAAGACUCUCAAAUGAGCCAAAACCUGGAUGCAGUAAGAAGCCUCGAGAUUGUUGGUUGGGAAAGCAAUGCCACAGAUACAUUCUCAUGAGCACAAGCCAUGCUCCAGACUGAUGCUCCCAAUUGCAGGGUUGAGGUGCAAUAAAGCUGCUUCCCACCUGAGUAAGUCUGUUGGUUAAGAAGCAGGCGAGUGGCCACAGAGAACUGUUUGUUUAACCAGGAACUACAGUUAUUGGUUCUGUUCAGCCAACCUGGAAAAAUCGGGUAAUUACAAUUGCAAGGGGCAAACUCUAACUUAAAGGUACAUGCACAAGCUCAGAUGUGGAUACUGACAUAGUUUGGAUGUGUGUCCCCACCCAAAUCUCAUAUUGAAAUGUAAUCCCCAAUGUUGGAGGUGGGGCCUGGUGGGAGGUGAUUGGAUCAUGGGGCCAGAUUUCUCAUGAAUAUACACAGAAAGAUUUGCCCACCCUUGUUCUAACUGAAGGGAGA